UCCCUCCGUGGCCGUCUUGCGUAAACCAUGUGUAGGAAAUGGUCAUUUAGGGUAAUAAUAUUAAGGAAGCUUUAUAUUUCAUGGGUUGUUGGAAUUGACCAGAACUUCUCUGAAAGACACAAAAGAAACUGUGAAUGAAAAAUCACACUAGUCACCCGGAUCCAUGUGUGAGAAGCUCUUCAACAGGGGAAAAAAUCAAGUGCCGGCCGAAGACCUGGAGAUGAAGGUUCAUCAAAGGGACGAUUGACACUGUUUCAACCAAGUGUCAACGCGCCAAGGGGACCAGCCAGCAGGAUGCUCUCAGCUGGGAUCCCAUCAUCCAUAGCUAAAGAGCAACAGAUGCUGGCCAAAGAGGUGGGGACAUCUGUGCUGCUCAACUGAGCCAUAAAAGCAGUUUUUGUUU